UAUUGCACAAUGGGGGAAACCCUGUUGCAGCGACGCCGCGUGAGCGAAGAAGCAUCUCGGUAUGUCAAGCUCUAUCAGCAGGGAAGAAAAUGACGGUACCUGAUGAAGACGCCCCGGCUAACUACGUGCCAGCAGCCGCGGUAAUACGUAGGGGGCAAGCGUUAUCCGGAUUUCCUGGGUGUAAAGGGAGCGUAGACGGCAGCACAAGUCUGGAGUGAAAUGCCGGGGCUUAACCCCGGAACUGCUUUGGAAACUGUGCAGCUAGAGUGCAGGAGAGGUAAGUGGAAUUCCUAGUGUAGCGGUGAAAUGCGUAGAUAUUAGGAGGAACACCAGUGGCGAAGGCGGCUUACUGGACUGUAACUGACGUUGAGGCUCGAAAGCGUGGGGAGCAAACAGG
rnacentral:rRNA from 1 species